UCAACUCCUCUUGAGAUAAUUCUUUGAGCCUUCCUGAUGGAUAGUCCUUCGGACCUGUCUUAUGGAACCAACCUCUCCUUACAGUCGAGCCGCUUUCGCUCCUCUCCUCGAUCAAGAGGUUAUUAGUCUCAAAGGAAGAGGAAGUAAUAUAAUAGCUCGACGUUCAAGGGCACAUACUGAGUUUACGAAGAAGAGGAGAAAUGAGUUUACGAACGAUCUAGGGAAGAGUUGAAUCUUUUCUUGCUGUGGAAGUAGCUGAAUAAGGCUCUUUCUGAAGUGGUUGAAGGAGAGGUUCUAGCUUUUCUUGUUCCGGUUUCAUAAGUGGCAGUGGACAUUGGCAGCCUCAGCUGCUAUCUCUCUUGCCCAAGCAAGGCAAAUAUCAAGGCUUAAAACGAGAAAUCCUGGGAUUGUAAUGUCCCAGUUGGUUAGUCUCUAAUACUGUGAUUUGACUAUUUCAUGAUUCCACGUUCUUUAAGGAAGAAAGGUCAGACGGAGAAGUCAGAUAAUCAGCCGUAGCCCAUCCAAUAAGGAAGAACAGACUAAAAAGUCAGAUAAGACUUAAGGCGCGAAGCGACAACCUACUAAACCUACGGCAGAACUGGAGGCAAGGGGCGAAGAGAAGAUACCGUAGGUCAGACUAUUACAAAGAAGAAGAAGACGAUAAGACGAUCAGACGAUAUUGAAUGCUCCGAAUCGUCUUCCUUCCGGCUUUCCCUUCUUUUUUCUUCUGGGGAAUCUUCCCCCUUAUCUUUUUCCGGCUUUCUCGGAAAGAUCCCUUGAACUGUGACUGGGCUGCGCCUUUGAUUCUGAGUACUUUAUCUAAGAGUACUUUAUCUAAGAGUUCUCGAUCCGAGUAGAUCGUAGAUCGGAUCGGCUUUGCCUUUUCUUUUCCUUCUUUAUCCGGGGAAUCCUCCCCCUUGACUUUAUCCGGUAAAUUCCCCUUGACUGACUUAGGGGCCGAGAGGUACUAGCUCGGUAUCGUCAUUCCCUUCUUCGAGAUCUACGAUCGGUAUCGGCUUUGCCUUUUCUUUUCCUUCUUUAUCCGGGAAAUUGUCCUUGACUUAGGGGCCUUCCGGCCUCGACUCCUUCUUCUUCUUUAUGCUGUGGGGAAACCUUCCCCUUACCUUUUUCUUCUGGGGAAUUCCCCUUUACCUAGGGGCCUUUAGGCCUCCUUCCCUUCUUUUUCCUCUGGAGAAACCUUCCCCUUAUAGUAGUUCCCUUCUUUUUCCUCUCUCAAAUUCUUUGAUCCUCCCCUUUCAAUCAAGGAAGUUGCCGAUAGGCCUCGACUCCUUCCCUUCUUUCUCCUCUGGGGGAAUCCUCCCCCUUGACUUUAUCCGGCUUUCUCUUUUGUCUUCCUUCCGGCCGGCGGCCUUUGCCUUAGUUCGUGGUAGAUCCGAGGAGAUCGGAUCGGCUUUGCCUUUUGUCUUCCCCCUUAUCUUUAUGCUGUGGGGAAACCUUCCCCUUAUAGUAGUUCCCUUCUGUAUCCUGUGGGGAAUGCUCCCCUUUCAAUCAAGGAAGUUUCCGAUAGGCACUGAAGGAAAGUCAAGGCCGAUAGGCUAAGCUCUUGACUCAUUCAUUCCAUAUUACUAGAACCCAGAAGACGAUUCCGUCUGAUCGUCUUCUUUCCUCAAUAUUCUUUGAACCUGAUUUUGCUUUAUUCUUUGGGGAAUCUUCCCCCUUAAAUAACUAAAGUCCGAUAGGUACCUUCUUUAUUUCAAUCAAGGAAGUUGCCGAUAGGCACUCAAGGAAAGGGCCUUUAGGCCGAGAGUCGGCUUUGCCUUUUGUCUUCCUUCUUUCCGGCUUUGCCUUAUCUUAUUAUAUUAGUUCGUGGUAGAUCCGAGGAGAUCGGAUCGGCUUUGCCCUUUUGUCUUCCUUCAGUGAACAGGAAAGUGCUGGAGUUGUACGUAUCUACUGCCUUGCCCACUUGUUCAGGGGAUCGGCCCAGGCUAGAAGAAUGAUCCUAGAGCGUGGCGCCUCGAAAACAAACUUUUUGUGAAUAUCUCAUCAGCUCCGUCAUGAAAAAUCAUGAAAGGAGGCGCCAUUACGGUUCCUCAAGCGGAGAGCGCGCCCCGGGAGUCUAACCCGGUCGUCUCGCCAAGAUAAGAGAGUACGGCGCCGUGCAAGGAUUUACCUCUUCUCUUUGCCCUUCCUCUCCAUCUUGUUUCUCACCUGACCUUGCAUAGUUUCGAUCUGUCUGCAAGAACCCGAUUAGCUGAUUGAUUCUUCGUUUGUAUGAGUGCGGGACGCUCCAUCAAUUCACCAACAGAAAUAAGGAGCCCCCAUACAAUCAAUAGUCGAUACGGGCUUUCGUCCCGUAAAGCGCAUGGGGCACGUUCUAGGAUGGAGGAUGGGGUUCUUCUAGGUACGUAGCAAUCCAUACUUUCUACUAUUCACUGAUUCGUUCUUGCCGAAAGAAGGACGUACCGACCUCACUUCCUUCCGACAAGGGCUCUACCUCUACUUCUGAAACUCAAAACGUCGGACCUUGGUCGCUUUAUACAGAGGAUCCCAGAGGGCUUGAUUGCUCAAGAGCCGUAGGAUUUCCCUCCCUGGUACCCAUGCUAAGGUGUUCUUAGAAAUUCUCCUUACAAGAGAUUCCGUACAAGUGUAAGUUACUUUUCUAAGAGGAACCUUAACUAUGAUGCGGAUUCAAUUGGCAUCUCCCUGCUCUAUGGUCUUUACACGACCGAGUCUAAAUGUCCCCCUCCCAGUACCUAUUACCUUCAGUCCCAGGGCUUCGGAUUUUGAACUGCGUCACCUACGUCAAUAUUCUUUGAACCUUGGUACUACGAUCGGAGAUCAGAUCAAAAAGGCUCUUUUCCGGCUUUCUCUUUUCUGUCCUCCUUCCGGCCGGCCUCAAUAUUCUUUGAACCUUCUUUAUCCGUGGAAUCUUCCUUUUCUGCCUUUCCCGCUCCGUGGGCGUAGUUCGUGGUAGAUCCGAGGAGAUCGGAGAUCGGAUCCUAUCGCCUUUCCCUUUUGUCUUCCGAGAGUCGGCUUUGCCUUUUCUGUCUUCCUUCCGGCUUUCCCUUUUCUUUUCCUUCUUCGAAAUAUUCUUUGACCCUGAAAGUAGUUCCCUUCUGAGAGAUCGGAUCGGAGAUCGGAUAGGUACCUCCGUUAAAUCAAGGAAAGUCAAGGCCUUCCGGCCUCGAGUCCUUCCCUUCUUUCUUCCCUAGAUCCGAGGAGAUCGGAGAUCGGAUCGGUAUCCGCUUUCCCUUUUGUCUUCCUUCCGGCCGGCCGGCUUUCCCGCUCCGUGGGCGUAGUUCGUGGUAGAUCCGAGGAGAUCGGAGAUCGGAUCCUAUCUGCUUUCUCUUUUGUCUUCCUUCCGGCUUUGCCUUACCCUGAGUUCGUGGUACCCUUUAUUUCAUUUAGGGUCCGAGAGUCGGCUUUGCCUUCUUCUCGAUUCAUUGACUCGGAUUCAACCUUCAAACUUGCUGGCUGUCUUCCUUCUUUAUCCUGUGGGGAAUCCUCCCCCUUGACUUUAUCCGAAGAAUUCCCCUUUAC
rnacentral:lncRNA from 1 species